GCACCUGAUCCAGCCAUGCCGCGUGAGUGAUGAAGGCCUUAGGGUCGUAAAGCUCUUUCGCCUGUGAAGAUAAUGACUGUAGCAGGUAAAGAAACCCCGGCUAACUCCGUGCCAGCAGCCGCGGUAAUACGGAGGGGGUUAGCGUUGUUCGGAAUUACUGGGCGUAAAGCGCGCGUAGGCGGACUGGAAAGUUGGGGGUGAAAUCCCAGGGCUCAACCCUGGAACUGCCUCCAAAACUAUCAGUCUAGAGUUCGAGAGAGGUGAGUGGAAUUCCGAGUGUAGAGGUGAAAUUCGUAGAUAUUCGGAGGAACACCAGUGGCGAAGGCGGCUCACUGGCUCGAUACUGACGCUGAGGUGCGAAAGUGUGGGGAGCAAACAGGAUUAGAUACCCUGGUAGUCCACACCGUAAACGAUGAAUGCCAGUCGUCGGGUAGCAUGCUAUUCGGUGACACACCUAACGGAUUAAGCAUUCCGCCUGGGGAGUACGGUCGCAAGAUUAAAACUCAAAUG
rnacentral:rRNA from 1 species